AUUAAAUGAAAGGAAGAGCAAAUCUCACCUGAAAUCUGCAAAUGUAGUGAUCAUCUCCAUAUGCAGCACGCAUAUUCUCUACCGUUUUCCGUUUAGUGUUUCUCGGGCUAAAAUGAACGCUCAAAUUGACUAAGGCUUUAACUUUGUCAGGUCUAAACAAACACAGGCGCCAAGCAAUCAUGGCGCCCCAGUCAUGCCCAACAACAAACACCUUAUCUGCACCAAGAGCGUCGAUGAGUGCGACCAUGUCGCCGACAACAUGAAGUGUAGUGAACUUGGUAGGAUCGUCGAUAGGUGCACCGGUGGUGUCUCCGUAGCCACGGAGGUCAGGGGCGACCGCACGGUACCCGUGGGCGGCGAGGUAGAUGAUCUGGUGGCGCCAAGAGUACCAGAGCUCAGGGAAACCGUGGAUUAGAAGUACAAUUGGACCUUGACCCAUCUCUGCGAUGUGCAUGUUGAUGCCGUUGACGCUUAUCAUCUUGUGCUCUAUCCCUUCCAUCUUCGUCUGUAUCGAUUUGGAGCACAAUUCUGCAAAAUUGUACAAAGGAGUAUAUUUCAAGAGAGUCGGUAUCUUGAAGCAUUAUCCAUCCACGAGAUUAAUGUGCGCAUUAUUGAUAGUUUGUUAGACGUUCUUUUCCAAAAAUGAAAACAUGUCAUUUUUAUGUAAUCAAAAUUCAAAAGUAAUCUGAAAUAGGGUAAAUUUCGUUUAUACUUUAUACUAUUUUUAAACAUUAAAUUUUUAUUUGUACACUUUAAUUUUUAAAUAUAAUAAAUACUAUAUUUUUAAAAAAUUUAGAAUAUUAUAUAUUUUUAUUAAUCCAAGUAUUAAUUUUAUUACGUUAUAACAUUUUUAAUAUUUUAAAAAUUGAUUACUACCAUGUGCGAUUAGCAAUAAAUCUUACAUUGUCCAAGAAACAAUAAUAUACUUUACUAAUCUACACAUAAAACAUUAUACUGCCUAUAUAAAUAUUGUUCUUGAAAUAAAAUAAGAUGCAAGUCAGAAUGAACCUUAUUUUAUAGUUCCCACUCCUCCCGACCACAUGCACCACAAACACCUCUAAAACAUGCAACAACUACCUAAGUGUUGGUGAAACAUACAACUCAAAGUAAGAUAUCACUAGGUAUUGUAAUUUAACACCUUAUGUAUGCUGAAUUAUAUAUGUAUGGAGGUGAUUACUAAUCCCCUUUACAUAUUACAAUUGGUGUAAUCAAUCUUCCUUAAUUUCAUUCUACACUCCUCCAUGGAAGCUCCCCCAAAUCAGAACAUUAGAACUUCUGCAAGAAGUCAUAAAUGUGUUUGUUGAUCUUGUCUGGUAUUUCUUGAGUGAUGAAGUGAGCUGCACCUUCAAUCACCACAACUUCCUCCAACUGAGGUACAUUUUUCUUAAAUCCACCACCCUUUACGUAUUCCUUAUUAUACACCAAAUCUAACUCCCCAACAAUAUACUUUACUGGAACACUUGCUCUAGCAUCUGUCCAUGGUGCUUCCAGUUCCCAGUCUCUACAAGUAAGAUAAUCAAGAUUUCAAUUUCCAGAAACAAAUGAAGGGUAGUGAUUUGAAUUUUCAAAGAAUUGUAAAGGAACUAACAGGUCAACACAACGGUAGUAAUUUAGUGCUCCUGUAAAGCCAGUUUGCUCGAAUUUUUUGGUGUAAUAAUCAACAUCUUCUUCAGAUAGCCAUGAUGGCAAGAUGACAGGGGUACCAUACAAAGCUCCAAAGGGCUUAUCUGUAGGGAAAUAAAAAGGAGCACGAUCCCUGUAUGUCAAGAAUUUCUCAAUAACUUUCUUGGUUCCAUAACUAGCAAACACAGCUUCCAUUUCCCCUGGUUCCUGCAACAAAGUUAAAAACGAGAGUUAAAAAGAUUGAGCCCAAAGAGAUGAAAGUAAGUUAUGAUUCGUGACAUUAGGGUAAGAGUCUUUAAUCCGUAACAGCAGAAGCGAUAAAUCAUCGUAGCUCAAAUUAAUAGGUUUGACAGCAUUUUCCCAUCAAAACCAAGUGAAACGAAGAACAAAUGUCACCUGAAAUCUGCACAUGUAGUGAUCAUCUCCGUAUGCAGCACGAGCAUUCUCUAAAAUUUUCCGUUUAGGGUUUCUUGGGGUAAAGUGAACGCUCAAAUUGACCAAGGCUUUAACUUUGUCAGGUCUAAACAAACACAGGCGCCAAGCAAUCAAGGCGCCCCAGUCAUGCCCGACAACAAACACCUUAUCGGCACCAAGAGAAUCGAUGAGUGCGACCAUGUCGCCGGCAACGUGAAGUGUAGUGAACUUGGUAGGAUCGUCGAUAGGUGCACCGGUGGUGUCUCCGUAACCACGGAGGUCCGGGGCUACUGCUCGGUACCCAUGAGCGGCGAGGUAGAUGAUCUGGUGGCGCCAGGAGUACCAGAGCUCAGGGAAACCGUGGAUUAGUAGUACAAUUGGGCCUUGACCCAUCUCUGCAACAUGCAUAUUGAUACCGUUGACGCUGAUCAUCUUGUGCUCUAUCCUUUCCAUCUUCGUCUCUGUUGAUUUGGAUCACAACUCUGCAAAAUUGGGCACGGGAAUCUGUUUCGAGAUAGUCGAAGUAUCUUGAAGCCUUUGAUCCAUCCUUGAAUUUCACGAAAUCUGAAAUAUUUAAUAGGUGCCUGGCCUGCUGUCUACUAUCGGUAGUUUGGUGCACAUUAUACUCUUCCAUCAUUCUAAAGUGACGAGCUUCGUGGCGGGCGGAAAGACAAAAUUGCGAAAAUGGUGCGUCUGGUAGGCAAAUU
rnacentral:lncRNA from 1 species